AGUCACUGACAUUAGAUACCCCUGUAGUCCAGGGUGUAAACGCUGCAGACUUGGUGUUGGAAGCCCUUUGGGGGCAUUCAGUGCCGGAGAGAAGUUGUUAAGUCUGCCACUUGGGGAGUACGUCCGCAAGGAUGAAACUUAAAGGAAUUGGCGGGGGAGCACCGCAACGGGAGGAGCGUGCGGUUUAAUUGGAUUCAACACCGUAAACUCACCAGGGAAGACUGUUACAUGAAGGCCGAGAUGAAGACUCUGCUAGAUUUUCAG
rnacentral:rRNA from 1 species